CCAUCCUGUUAGUAAUUUCCUCCUUUUAAAGCUUUACUCUAUUAACAACCAACAUCAGACAACCAUAUCGCGUAGACUCUCACCUGCCCAGUGCCAGGUGUGUGUGUCGUGGGUGGGAGGGAAGGGAGGGGGCAGUGAGGGCAGCUGGGCAUUUGCCUGACAGUGACCUAACAAACACAUUUUAAAACUGAGAUUAUAUGACUGUAUAUUUAUUUGUGGCAUGGGGUGGGGAGGUUGAUGGAGAUUACUAGUCAAAGGUGCUACAAACUGCCCAGGCUACUCCUUGGCACCACUGGGAACAGUGCUUUCUCUGCUUCAAUCCAGACUUUCAGAAAUUAACAUCCAUUAAAAAAUGCUGAGGAAGUACUGCAUAAUCAAGGAUUCUGUAUACUGACUUAAAAGAUGUUAUCCGUGGUCAGCUGCGGUCCAGAAGCAGAUGAUCUUCCUUCUGACAUAUUGUCAGAAAGUCAGUAGUAGUCUGACACUACAUUACCAAGUCCACACCAUUCAUGUCACUUCAUCUCAUCACGGAGGCAUUUUAUCAUCUCGCAUUAUCAAAAGAACAAGGGUGAUGGCAGCUUGGAAGCUGCGUUGGCAAAGAAAGGUCUGGCCAAGCGAGAAGGUCUGGACAUUUUAAACAGCAGCAAAAAACAACAAUAAAAGGAACCAAC